rnacentral:rRNA from 1 species
GAUGAACGCUGACAGAAUGCUUAACACAUGCAAGUCUUUGGCGAAUCUGUGCUUGCACAGGCUAGCCAAUGCGGACGGGUGAGUAACGCGUAAAGAACUUGCCCUGCAGACAGGGAUAACAGACGGAAACGACUGAUAACACCUGAUACAGUUGCCGGCACGCAUGUGCCUGGCAAUGAAAAGAGAUGCUGCAGGAGAGCUUUGCGUCCUAUUAGCUUGUUGGUGAGGUGACGGCUCACCAAGGCGAUGAUAGGUAGCCGGCCUGAUAGGGUGAACGGCCACGAGGGGACUGAGAGACGGCCCUUACUACUACGGGAGGCAGCAGUGGGGAAUAUUGGACAAUGGGGGCAACCCUGAUCCAGCAAUUCUGUGUGCACGAAGAAGGUUUUCGGAUUGUAAAGUGCUUUCAGCAGGGAAGAAGAAAGUGACGGUACCUGCAGAAGAAGCGACGGCUAAAUACGUG